UGGGGAAUAUUGGACAAUGGGCGAAAGCCUGAUCCAGCAAUGCCGCGUGAGUGAUGAAGGCCCUAGGGUUGUAAAGCUCUUUUGCCCGGGAAGAUAAUGACUGUACCGGGAGAAUAAGCUCCGGCUAACUCCGUGCCAGCAGCCGCGGUAAUACGGAGGGAGCUAGCGUUGUUCGGAAUUACUGGGCGUAAAGCGCACGUAGGCGGCUCAGCAAGUCAGGGGUGAAAUCCCGGGGCUCAACCCCGGAACUGCCCUUGAAACUGCUAAGCUAGAAUCCUGGAGAGGCGAGUGGAAUUCCGAGUGUAGAGGUGAAAUUCGUAGAUAUUCGGAAGAACACCAGUGGCGAAGGCGACUCGCUGGACAGGUAUUGACGCUGAGGUGCGAAAGCGUGGGGAGCAAACAGG
rnacentral:rRNA from 1 species